GGUGAACGCUGGCGGUAGGCCUAACACAUGCAAGUCGAACGGCAGCACAGUAAGAGCUUGCUCUUACGGGUGGCGAGUGGCGGACGGGUGAGGAAUACAUCGGAAUCUACUUUUUCGUGGGUGAUAACGUAGGGAAACUUACGCUAAUACCGCAUACUACCUACGGGUGAAAGCAGGGGAUCUUCGGACCUUGCGCGAUUGAAUGAGCCGAUGUCGGAUUAGCUAGUUGGCGGGGUAAAGGCCCACCAAGGCGACGAUCCGUAGCUGGUCUGAGAGGAUGAUCAGCCACACUGGAACUGAGACACGGUCCAGACUCCUACGGGGGGCAGCAGUGGGGAAUAUUGGACAAUGGGCGCAAGCCUGAUCCAGCCAUACCGCGUGGGUGAAGAAGGCCUUCGGGUUGUAAAGCCCUUUUGUUGGGAAAGAAAAGCAGCAGGUUAAUACCCCGCUGUUCUGACGGUACCCAAAGAAUAAGCACCGGCUAACUUCGUG
rnacentral:rRNA from 1 species